UGCAAGUCGAACGCGAAAGUGGGGGCAACCCUGCGAGUAGAGUGGCGAACGGGUGAGUAACACAUCGGAACGUACCCAGGAGUGGGGGACAACCUCGAGAAAUCGAGGCUAAUACCGCAUACGUCCUGAGGGAGGAAGCGGGGGAUUCGCAAGGACCUCGCGCUCAUGGAGCGGCCGAUGUCGGAUUAGCUAGUUGGCGGGGUAAGAGCCCACCAAGGCUACGAUCCGUAGCUGGUUUGAGAGAACGACCAGCCACACUGGGACUGAGACACGGCCCAGACUCCUACGGGAGGCAGCAGUGGGGAAUUUUGGACAAUGGGGGCAACCCUGAUCCAGCCAUGCCGCGUGAGUGAAGAAGGCCUUCGGGUUGUAAAGCUCUUUCGGCCGGAACGAAAUCGGGAACGUGAAUAACGUUUCUGGAUGACGGUACUGCAAGAAGAAGCACCGGCUAACUACGUGCCAGCAGCCGCGGUAAUACGUAGGGUGCGAGCGUUAAUCGAAAUUACUGGGCGUAAAGCGUGCGCAGGCGGUUCUGCAAGUCAGAUGUGAAAUCCCCGGGCUUAACCUGGGAACUGCGUUUGAAACUACGGAGCUAGAGUGCGGCAGAGGGGGGUGGAAUUCCACGUGUAGCAGUGAAAUGCGUAGAUAUGUGGAGGAACACCGAUGGCGAAGGCAGCCCCCUGGGCCGACACUGACGCUCAGGCACGAAAGCGUGGGGAG
rnacentral:rRNA from 1 species